UUGCUUACUUCAGCUGCUACUGAGAAGUUUUUUUUUUCUUCCAAGAAAUUAACCCUCUUAUAGCAAGAGUUACAACAAGCUAAAGAGUGUAAAAAAAUAAAACUGGGUUCAGGGAUUACUAUUGCAUGGAUUGGGACUGGCGAGCU